rnacentral:rRNA from 1 species
GGGGUGCUCGAGUGGCGAACGGGUGAGUAACACGUGAGUAACCUGCCCUUGACUUUGGGAUAACUUCAGGAAACUGGGCUAAUACCGGAUAGGAGCUCCUGCUGCAUGGUGGGGGUUGGAAAGUUUCGGCGGUUGGGGAUGGACUCGCGGCUUAUCAGCUUGUUGGUGGGGUAGUGGCUUACCAAGGCUUUGACGGGUAGCCGGCCUGAGAGGGUGACCGGCCACAUUGGGACUGAGAUACGGCCCAG